CGAUUCGUUGAAAUUAUAUGAUCAUCAUCAACCUUUUUUUUUGUAUUUCCUGUAUUAAAGUUUUAAUUUUUAGUUAAAAAUUUCGAUUUUUUUUUUUGUUUAUAUGAAAGAAUGUGUGUGUGUCUUUUUGUAUAAGGGCUUCAGAUUCUUCCAAUAUGUUAGAUUGGUUAAAUUGGAGCAUACAUGCAGCUAAAAUUUUUGAAAUUUUUUAAUAGUUUGUGUUUUGAAUUAUUUAUAAUUUUGUUGUGUAAUAUAGUGAAAUUCCUUGAAGAUUUUUUUUUGUUUAUAUGAAAUAAUGUUUGUGUGUGUUUUAUUUGUAUAAUGGCUUCAGAUUCUUCCAAUAUGUUAGAUUGGUUAAAUUGGAGUGUACAUGCAACUAAAUUUUUCAAAAGUUUAAUAGUUUGUGUUUUGAAUUAUUUAUAAUUUUGUUGUGUAAUAUAGUGAAAUUCCUUGAAGAUGUAACAUAUAUAUUUUUGGAAAAAUUGAUUUAAACAGUCCCAACUAUCGUUUUUUAUUGUUCAGUCCCAGCUUUGAAAGGUGUUUUACAAUAGUAGUCCCAGCAGGUAAAAAUCAAAGUUGGGACUGAACAACAAAAAAAUGAUAGUUGGGACUGUUGUUGUCAGGACGUCCAUAGUUGGGACUGAUUAAAUCAAUUUUUCCUAUAUAUUUUGGUUCUGACAUUGGAAAAAUCGUCACAUCUCUAUCUAUUACAUAAGGGAACUCUAGACCAAUUUGGUGUCCGCUUGAAACAUUUUAAAUAUUUUUUUUUUAAAAAAAUAUUUCACAAUUUGAUGUUAAAAAUACAACUUUUUAUAAUUUGAAACACGCAUUGCAUGCAUUUGAAUCUAGUAAUACAUAAAGAAAACUAAACAUUAGGAAACAAGAAAUAUAUUGUCCAGUUGUUGAACACCAACAUUAACGGAAGAUAGAUUGCUACAAGCUUUUAUUCACGCUGAUUGGUUUUUUUGGUUCAUAAUAAGGCGUUGGUGUAAUUUGGUAGCAUUGGAAAUUCGGCAGCUGACCCUGUUUUAAUGGGAUUAAGGCUCUGACAAUGUUUUUGUUGUUACCGUCUACCAAGUAUUGGGAUAGUACGGUUGGUUUGAGUGGAACAGAAACUUGGGAGGUCGGAAUGUAGGUUGGCAUGGAAUGUAGAAGGUUGAGUGUAGUUUUAGACUUAGAAAAAUGAUGAGUAAGAGGGUGUUUGGAUAGCGGAAUUUGGAGGGUCAGGGAGGGAGUCAUUUCCCUUGUUUGGAAUGAUACAUCUUCCUUCCCAUCUUGCUAAACGAACUCCUUCCGAUUACGGAGGAAAAUGCAAACUCACUUUUUUCUCCUUUUCCUUUUUUUUCGUUGGGAAGUAUAUGUCUAUAAGAGGCAUUGGGUAGGAAAUAACCACUCACAUGAACAGGUGUGAGGGUGACUUGUGAGAGGUCAGAUUUAUCACUCCUCCCUUCCCUUCCCUUCCUCUCUUUCCCCAUACCUUUCCCUAUAUGUGUGCUAUCUAUCCAAACAAAGUGUAAUGUAGAGAUAUGCAGAAUUAUUUUUGGAUGGCGACAAAGAAUUUCUGUUAAUUGCAAUGUUUUAUGUAAUGUAAUUUUAAUACUGCCCCCCUUUGGUGUAGUUAUGCUACCAUCUUAUUUGAUGUAUAUAUGCGGAUCAAACACAACUGAACUCCUAAUUGCUGGUGAUCCAUGUUUCGGAAUAGAUGGUUCUGCAAUACAAUUGUGUAAGGGGUUGAUCGGCUGAGUUUCAGAUUCUUCGCAUUUUAUCAAAUGAGUUUCUGCUUAAGAUCAUGAUAGUUUCUAUUACCUUCUAGCUUAGUGGUUCUUUGCAGGGUCCUUUUUGUUUCAGCAAAGACGACUACGCCACAUGGAACCAGUUUGAACCACUACAACAGCCAUUGGAAGGUUGCUUUUGGUGUUAAAAUGCUAUUAGUAUUCUUUUGGCUCAAGUCUAUUCUACAUCUUUAAGUAUUUUGGUUGACCACUCACAUAAGUGCUGUUCACAGAGUGUUAAUGUGUCAUCUGAAUGAUAUCCCUAUCCCCUAUCUAUUAUUUGAUUGUUCACCAAUUUCCAUGAUGUCUUUAUUUAAUUUUGCAGCUUCUCUCCUCAUUAUUAUCUAUGGACUUCACAGUUUGACUCAUGGAGCCAGAACCAUCUUGGGAGGAUUAUGGAUACUGGCCGAUCAGAAAAGAAAACCGUACAAGAAAGGUUGAUCCUGAAGUAGUUGAUUCACUUGUAAGAACUUAUGUUGAUGAUGAAGAAAGGCAUGUUGUCUGUAUUAACACCAUUCUUCCAGAUGAUAUAAUUGAACAAGUUCUUGGACAUCUCCCAGUUUCAACUAUUAUUAAAGCAGGUUGUGUAUGUAAGAAAUGGAAUGACAUUUUGCAGUCUGGACAAUUCAUACAUAACUUCCCAAACGUUUCACCUCAAAAACCCUGGUACUUUAUGUUUACCAAUGACAGUGAUCCACGUGGGCAUGUUUAUGACCCCUUGUUUUCGAGGUGGUAUAGGUUUGAGAUCCCUUAUGUUGAAAGACCUACUUGGAAUAUUGUUUCAUCUUCCGGCUUAGUUUGCUUUAUGAAUAAUGACUCCAUGAGAAAGCUAUAUGUUUGUAAUCCAAUCACUAAACAUUGUCGAAAGCUUGCAGGACCUGCUGGUGCAGAAGUCUAUGAUUACUGUGCCCUUGCAAUCUCACUGGAUAAAUCAUCACAGAAUUAUACCAUGGCAGUAGUCAGAUCUAAGCAAGAUCCUAGAGAAGAGGAAAAUUGGUAUCUUUCAAUUGAUGUUUAUUGCUCAGAAAAAAAUCAAUGGGAAUGCCCUGUGGAUGUUACUUUACAAGCUUGGAGAAGUAGGACCGACAGUGUGAUAUGUGGCGGGAUUCUUUAUUUCGGGGUUUAUCUAACAAGAUUAAUGGGUUUUGUUCGUCCUCGCUAUGGUGUGCUGGCAUAUGACCUUGCUUCUCACUCAUUUGACCCUGAUGUGGAUGAGCGCGUGAUUCCCGCACCUUGUCUUGUCACAUGCAUGAGGUUGAUAAACCUUAAAGAGGAGCUUGUCAUGGUAGGCGGGAUUGAAAAACAAGGUCGGUUUGGUGUAAUUAAGGGCAUCGGUAUCUGGGUUCUUAGAGGAAAGGAGUGGGAAGAGGUUUCUCGUAUGCCUAACAAAUUUUUCAGAGGAUUUGGGGAGUUUGAUGAUGUUUUUGCCAGUAGUGGGUUUGACAACCUCAUUUACAUUCAAAGUUAUGGAUCUCCUGUUCUUCUCAUGUUUGAAAUGAAUUCAAAAGAAUGGAGGUGGUCACACAGAUGUCCUGCCAUCAAGAAGAAUCCUCUCCAACUGUUUUCUGGAAUUUGCUUCGAGGCCCGGCUUGAUAUUUCUCCCUGAUCUGGGCAUUCUGCACUUGGUGUCAUGUCUUGUGGAUUUUGCUUGUCUAGUGUUAUUUUCCAGUAAUAUGCGAAAAUUAAGCAUAAAAUAACAAGCAAGAGGCACACCCUCCAUUCAUUGCUCAUGAUGAAUGUAUGCAGUGUGCGUAUGAUGGUACAUCCCGUAUUCAGCUGAGAGUUGGUGUAACAUCAAAAAGUACUCACAAGAGUACAUCGAAGCUCAGUAACCUUAAAGACAAAGUAGUUUUUUAGUGCUGCUGUAUUAAGCUUGCAUCAACCAUCUUUGAGUUCUCAUUGCAAUUUUAUCCUUCAAUAAUAUGCAACCAAGCUCGACAAAUUGCCGAAGUGGAGGCUGGGGAGAAAGGUGUGAGCGAGGCAGGUGCAUCCCCCUCCCUCUUCCCCCCGAUACUACACCUGUUGGGUGGCGAGGAACGGAGGAAGGGAGGAGCAUUUUCUUCCUCUGCUAGUUCUAUACCAGAACCUGUAACUUGGAAGCCCCUACCAACAGGCAACAGGGGACUUCAUAUGUUUAGUUUUGAUGUUUUAACAUUUUAAACUCCAUAACUCAGCUAGUUUGUACUUUUGCCUUUAUUGUUUGUGGAGCAUUUUUGUUCUCUGCGCACGUGUGUUUCUUUCUUGCAUACUCUGCAGUCCACGCAUAAUAAGGACUGGGAGCUAGAAACCAUAACAAGCGUCAUCUAUCUGUUCUUCUUCCUUUAGGAAUGACAUUUUCUUUAGAUUCAGUGGUUUAGAUGAUUCCAGCAACAAGAAAACAAAUUGUGCUUCUUUGUCUAUGGUUACAAUUACCAAGGUAUGUACCUGGUUUAGAUUUUUUUUUGUCUGUAAGGUUACUAGGUUUCGAUCCACUUUCUCCGUUCUUUUUCGA